rnacentral:lncRNA from 1 species
CAGAUUCCUUCUAUCUACUAUACACACACACAUAAACAUAUGCACACACGUGUAUCUAUUUAUUACUUGACAGCUUUCUUGACAAUGCAGCAAAAGGUAAAGAAAGUGAUAACAUCAAGGAGGAGAAAAAAACCCUCCAUGAAGAAUCAGUGAUUGUAAUGGAACCUGAGAAGGAAACUGAGACUUGUGCCACCCAAACAGAGGAAGCAUCUACACUACUAGUCUCUCAUAAAGCAGUACAGAUCCCUGAAGAGACCAGUCUAAAAGCCCAAGACCCAGGAAAUGAAUUACAAAGCCCAGAUCCCUUUUGGUUUUUUUCAAACAUGAGUGGUCUGAUAGAGAAGGAAGAACAGUAUAAGCAAAGGCAGGAAGAGAAAAAACAAUUCAAACUGGAAAAGAAGAAAUUGGAGAAGAUGGAAAAAAUCAAGGAAGAGGAGAAUGAAAAGAAACAGAAUGAAGGAAGAGUGAAGAAAGAAAGAGAGAAAGAAGAGAGAGCAAAGAAUGGGAGAGUAAUGGGAGAGAAAGAUACAGGAAAGAUUGAAAAGCAUAAAAAGGAAAAAGAAGAAAAAGCAAAGAAAGAAAAAAUGCAAGAGAAGAAAGAAAGUUUAAAGAAAGAAAAACACAAAGAAGAGGAAGAGAGGAUGAAAAAAGAAAAAAGCAAAGAAGAAAAAGAAGAAAAAAAGAAAAAUAUAGAAAACUCAGAAGAGGAAAGAGAAGACAAAAGGAAGAUGAUUGAGGCAGAGAGAAUAGCUUUGCAAAAGCGACUCCAGCUGAAGGGAAGAAUGAAAGGGAUGAAGAACAGUGAGGUGUGGUGGCCCAAGGAGAAAAAGUUGAUUGGGAAGAUAGCAAUUCAGAACUUUAUACAACUUUUGCCAAGUUCCUCUACCAUCCUCAAGAGCCCAGACAUAGAAGACCAUGUCAACAGGCCAAAGAAGAGACAUAUGGACCUUCAGGAACAUCUGAACCAGAAGAGAUAGACAGUACAGUCUUGACUCAGAAGAGAGAGAGAAAGUCACUCUUGAAGGGAGGUAAGAGGUUUUAUCUUUUUGUUGUUUUCCUGGAUGUUAGAUUUUGGUGGGACAAAGGAAUUCUU